rnacentral:rRNA from 1 species
CCUACGGGCGGCUGCAGUGGGGAAUCUUGGACAAUGGGCGCAAGCCUGAUCCAGCCAUGCCGCGUGAGUGAAGAAGGCCUUAGGGUUGUAAAGCUCUUUUGGCAGGGACGAUAAUGACGGUACCUGCAGAAUAAGCCCCGGCAAACUUCGUGCCAGCAGCCGCGGUAAUACGAAGGGGGCUAGCGUUGUUCGGAUUUACUGGGCGUAAAGCGCACGUAGGCGGAUUGUUAAGUCAGGGGUGAAAUCCCGGAGCUCAACUCCGGAACUGCCUUUGAUACUGGCAAUCUUGAGGCUGGAAGAGGUUGGUAGAAUUCCCAGUGUAGAGGUGAAAUUCGUAGAUAUUGGGAAGAAUACCAGUGGCGAAGGCGGCCAACUGGUCCAGAUCUGACGCUGAGGUGCGAAAGCGUGGGGAGCAAACAGGAUUAGAUACCCUAGUAGUC